rnacentral:rRNA from 1 species
ACCGGCAGCUCAAGUGGUGGCCAUUAUUAUUGGGCCUAAAGCGUUCGUAGCCGGUUUGAUAAGUCUCUGGUGAAAUCCCGCAGCUUAACUGUGGGACUUGCUGGAGAUACUAUCAGACUUGAGGUCGGGAGAGGUUAGGGGUACUCCCAGGGUAGGGGUGAAAUCCUAUAAUCCUGGGAGGACCACCUGUGGCGAAGGCGCCUAACUGGAACGAACCUGACGGUGAGUAACGAAAGCCAGGGGCGCGAAC